AUGGGAGAAAUUGACAAGGGGAUGCCUCAAAUUGGCAUGAGGUUUAGAAAUCCGGAUGAAGCUUGGCUGUUUUGGGUUGCAUAUGGGGGUCGCGUUGGGUUUGAUCUGAGGAAGAGAAACAAACAUGUAAGCAAGAUGGAUGGUCAAGUGACUUCAUGCACACUUGUUUAUUCGAAUGAGGGUAUACGAAAGAAAAUCAUAACAAUGGAUCACGAGUUAAAUCGUGUUAGAGCUGAAACAAGAACAAACUGCAAAGCUCGCAUGACUAUAUCACUUGAUCGAGUGGCAAAAAAAUUUGGGCAGAUGCUAAAAUGCUUCUUGACUAUGCACACUUUGGCGAUGUUGUCACAUUUGAUACAUCUUUUGGCACAAACAAAGAAUAUAGGCCAUUUGGUGUUUUUCUUGGACUCAAUCAGUUUAGAGAAACCACCAUUUUUGGUGCGGCAUUGA
rnacentral:rRNA from 1 species